AGACCCGAAACCCGGUGAUCUAGCCAUGGGCAGGUUGAAGGUUGGGUAACACUAACUGGAGGACCGAACCGACUAAUGUUGAAAAAUUAGCGGAUGACCUGUGGCUGGGGGUGAAAGGCCAAUCAAACCGGGAGAUAGCUGGUUCUCCCCGAAAGCUAUUUAGGUAGCGCCUCGUGAAUUCAUCUCCGGGGGUAGAGCACUGUUUCGGCUAGGGGGCCAUCCCGGCUUACCAACCCGAUGCAAACUGCGAAUACCGGAGAAUGUUAUCACGGGAGACACACGGCGGGUGCUAACGUCCGUCGUGAAGAGGGAAACAACCCAGACCGCCAGCUAAGGUCCCAAAGUCAUGGUUAAGUGGGAAACGAUGUGGGAAGGCCCAGACAGCCAGGAUGUUGGCUUAGAAGCAGCCAUCAUUUAAAGAAAGCGUAAUAGCUCACUGGUCGAGUCGGCCUGCGCGGAAGAUGUAACGGGGCUAAACCAUGCACCGAAGCUGCGGCAGCGACGCUUAUGCGUUGUUGGGUAGGGGAGCGUUCUGUAAGCCUGUGAAGGUGGCCUGUGAGGGUUGCUGGAGGUAUCAGAAGUGCGAAUGCUGACAUAAGUAACGAUAAAGCGGGUGAAAAGCCCGCUCGCCGGAAGACCAAGGGUUCCUGUCCAACGUUAAUCGGGGCAGGGUGAGUCGACCCCUAAGGCGAGGCCGAAAGGCGUAGUCGAUGGGAAACGGGUUAAUAUUCCCGUACUUGGUGUUACUGCGAAGGGGGGACGGAGAAGGCUAUGUUGGCCGGGCGACGGUUGUCCCGGUUUAAGCGUGUAGGUGUGUGUUCCAGGUAAAUCCGGUUCACUUUAACACUGAGGCGUGAUGACGAGGCACUACGGUGCUGAAGCAACAAAUGCCCUGCUUCCAGGAAAAGCCUCUAAGCAUCAGGUAACAUCAAAUCGUACCCCAAACCGACACAGGUGGUCAGGUAGAGAAUACCAAGGCGCUUGAGAGAACUCGGGUGAAGGAACUAGGCAAAAUGGUGCCGUAACUUCGGGAGAAGGCACGCUGACAUGUAGGUGAAGUGAUUUACUCAUGGAGCUGAAGUCAGUCGAAGAUACCAGCUGGCUGCAACUGUUUAUUAAAAACACAGCACUGUGCAAACACGAAAGUGGACGUAUACGGUGUGACGCCUGCCCGGUGCCGGAAGGUUAAUUGAUGGGGUCAGCGCAAGCGAAGCUCCUGAUCGAAGCCCCGGUAAACGGCGGCCGUAACUAUAACGGUCCUAAGGUAGCGAAAUUCCUUGUCGGGUAAGUUCCGACCUGCACGAAUGGCGUAAUGAUGGCCAGGCUGUCUCCACCCGAGACUCAGUGAAAUUGAACUCGCUGUGAAGAUGCAGUGUACCCGCGGCAAGACGGAAAGACCCCGUGAACCUUUACUAUAGCUUGACACUGAACAUUGAGCCUUGAUGUGUAGGAUAGGUGGGAGGCUUUGAAGUGU
rnacentral:rRNA from 1 species